UACGAAGGGGGGCUAGCGUUGUUCGGAUUUACUGGGCGUAAAGCGCACGUAGGCGGAUCGUUAAGUCAGGGGUGAAAUCCUGGAGCUCAACUCCAGAACUGCCUUUGAUACUGAAGAUCUUGAGUUCGGGAGAGGUGAGUGGAACUGCGAGUGUAGAGGUGAAAUUCGUAGAUAUUCGCAAGAACACCAGUGGCGAAGGCGGCUCACUGGCCCGAUACUGACGCUGAGGCACGAAAGCGUGGGGAGCAAACAGG
rnacentral:rRNA from 1 species